rnacentral:rRNA from 1 species
GGCGCACGGGGUGAGUAACACGUAUCCAACCUACCGGUUAUUCCGGGAUAGCCUUUCGAAAGAAAGAUUAAUACCGGAUAGUAUAACGAGAAGGCAUCUUCUUGUUAUUAAAGAAUUUCGAUAACCGAUGGGGAUGCGUUCCAUUAGUUUGUUGGCGGGGUAACGGCCCACCAAGACAUCGAUGGAUAGGGGUUCUGAGAGGAAGGUCCCCCACAUUGGAACUGAGACACGGUCCAAACUCCUACGGGAGGCAGCAGUGAGGAAUAUUGGUCAAUGGACGAGAGUCUGAACCAGCCAAGUAGCGUGAAGGAUGACUGCCCUAUGGGUUGUAAACUUCUUUUAUAUGGGAAUAAAGUGAGCCACGUGUGGCUUUUUGUAUGUACCAUACGAAUAAGGAUCGGCUAACUCCGUGCCAGCAGCCGCGGUAAUACGGAGGAUCCGAGCGUUAUCCGGAUUUAUUGGGUUUAAAGGGAGCGUAGGCGGACUAUUAAGUCAGCUGUGAAAGUUUGCGGCUCAACCGUAAAAUUGCAGUUGAUACUGGUCGUCUUGAGUGCAGUAGAGGUAGGCGGAAUUCGUGGUGUAGCGGUGAAAUGCUUAGAUAUCACGAAGAACUCCGAUUGCGAAGGCAGCUUACUGGACUGUAACUGACGCUGAUGCUCGAAAGUGUGGGUAUCAAACAGGAUUAGAUACCCUGGUAGUCCACACAGUAAACGAUGAAUACUCGCUGUUUGCGAUAUACGGCAAGCGGCCAAGCGAAAGCAUUAAGUAUUC